ensembl:snRNA U6 U6 spliceosomal RNA
GUGCUCGCUUCGGCAGCACAUAUACUAAAAUUGGAACGAUACAGAGAUUAGCGUGGGCCCUGCGCAAGGACGACAUGCAAAUUCAUGAAGCAUGCCAUAGUUUU